rnacentral:lncRNA from 1 species
CGGUGUUUGGCCACCGAGUUCAAGGCCUGAACUAAGAAAUUCCCAGCCUGAGAUUGACCUGACGCGCGGAUGAUUAUAAUUUGCUUCAAUGGACACAUGAGAGAGUUUGUAUAUAUGUGCUGUUGUUGUAAAUGAAACGCGCGCGCAGGAGAUCGAGUCAACCAUUUAACUAGCUGCCCAUUAGUAGAUUGAUGGAUUGUGCUAACAAACUCAUGUUGUUGUAAAUGAAAAGCGCGCGCAAGAGAUCGAGUCAACCAUUUAACUAGCUGCCCAUUAGUAGAUUGAUGGAUUGUGCUAACAAACUCAUGUAACAAAAGUUUCCUUUUUAGGUUCUUUAAAGUAGCAAUGGUAGAAGUUGGUGUUGGUUGGAAUUAGAUUGUAAUAUUGCUAUUUUUAGAAGGUUAAGUGUGAUUGACUAUGUUAUUUUAGCAAAAUUGAUUAAUGCACUUUUUCCCUAAUUUUUUACUGUAGCAUUUGACUGAGGUAUUAAUUUAGAAGGUAAAAAAGAACUUUGAAGUUUUGGCCUAUAGAUGGCAAAGUUUGAGUUUUUCUUUGAUAUAGUGCCAAUAUUUGCCACAACUUUCA